GUAAAAUAGCUCUAAAAGUUGUAGGCUUUGCCUCUUCUGCUGAGUCAGUGUAUUAAUAGCAGAGCACGUGGACUUUUCCCCUGCUCUUCUUCUGCAACAAGGGGUAAAUGUUCUUCUUUCUCUCAAAUCUGUGCAUCAAGGGGUUUCACUCAGAAGAGUUGUACCAGAAUUGGUCUACUUAUGAGUGCUUUGAUUCUCUCUUUACAACUCUUUGAACGCUCUCAAUGCUAAUGGUGACCCCCAAGGUUCAACGAAUGAAUGAAACUACGUACCUGGAUAGAGAUGAUGGUCUUCCUCUGAUGUCUCCAAGUCGGCCAUAAUAGAAUAGAUAGUUCGCUUAGGAACUACUCAUGAUUCUAACCGUAAAAGAAAGAGCAUAUGCAGAUUGUACUACAACUUGAGCUGACGGCUCCAAAGAUGUAUAUGAUGGAUGCGUAAUAGCUGCCUAUGUUUGUGCUAAUAGCAGGAUCAAUAAUGCAAUUGAAUCGUUUAUCCGAUAUACGAUUUCAAUUUUUCAAGACAUGGAAUGGAAUUGGUUUGGCUAAUGAAAAGAACUUGUUGUUACAACUAUAAGGUACCAACUUGGCAAGUUUUCUUUACAUACCAUUGAAACAGAACAAAAGUUAAUAGUAUGGUUAUUCUGCUGUUUUGCAGUAUUUAUAGAUUUUCUAUUAUUAUU